rnacentral:rRNA from 1 species
UACGGAAGGCAGCAGUGGGGAAUAUUGCACAAUGGGCGCAAGCCUGAUGCAGCCAUGCCGCGUGUAUGAAAAAGGCCUUCGGGUUGUAAAGUACUUUCAGUCGUGAGGAAGGUGUUAAGGUUAAUAACCUUAGCAAUUGACGUUAGCGACAGAAGAAGCACCGGCUAACUCCGUGCUAGCAGCCGCGGUAAUACGGAGGGUGCGAGCGUUAAUCGGAAUUACUGGGCGUAAAGGGCACGCAGGCGGUUAAUUAAGUUGGAUGUGAAAUCCCCGGGCUUAACCUGGGAAUGGCAUUCAAGACUGGUUAGCUAGAGUCUUGUAGAGGGGGUAGAAUUCCAUGUGUAGCGGUGAAAUGCGUAGAGAUGUGGAGGAAUACCGGUGGCGAAGGCGGCCCCUGGACAAAGACUGACGCUCAUGUGCGAAAGCGUGGGGAGCAAAC